rnacentral:rRNA from 1 species
UUCCGUAGGUGACCUGCGGAAGGAUCAUUAUUGAAUGAAUGUAGAGUCGGUUGUCGCUGGUCCUUUCGGGGACAUGUGCACGCCUUCUCUUUCAUCCACACACACCUGUGCACUCGUGAGACGGAAGCCCUCGGGCGUCCGUCUGCUCUACAUAAACUCAUAUCUAUAAUUUGAAUGUAAUUGAUGUAACACAUCUUUAAACUAAGUUUCAACAACGGAUCUCUUGGCUCUCGCAUCGAUGAAGAACGCAGCGAAAUGCGAUAAGUAAUGUGAAUUGCAGAAUUCAGUGAAUCAUCGAAUCUUUGAACGCACCUUGCGCUCCUUGGUAUUCCUUGGAGCAUGCCUGUUUGAGUAUCAUGAAAUUAUCAAAAUAAUUCUUUUGUUCAUUCAAUUGAAUUUUAUUUUGGACUUGGAGGUCUGCAGAUUCACGUCUGCUCCUUUUAAAUAUAUUAGCUGGAUCUCAGUGAGCUCGGUUCCACUCGGCGUGAUAAGUAUCACUCGCUGAGGACACUGUAAAAGGUGGCCGGGAUUGCGGAUGAACCGCUUCUAAUCGUCCAUUUACUUGGACAACAAUACUUUAUGAUCUGAUCUCAAAUCAGGUAGGACUACCCGCUGAACUUAAGCAUAUCAAUAAGCGGAGGAAAAGAAACUAACAAGGAUUCCCCUAGUAACGGCGAGUGAAGCGGGAAGAGCUCAAAUUUAAAAUCUGGCGGUGUACUCCGUCCGAGUUGUAGUCUAGAGAAGCAUCAUCCGUGCCGGACCAUGUACAAGUCUCUUGGAACAGAGCGUCAUAGAGGGUGAGAAUCCCGUCCUUGACAUGGACUCCCGGUGCUUUGUGUUGAGCUCUCAACGAGUCGAGUUGUUUGGGAAUGCAGCUCAAAAUGGGCGGUAAAUUCCAUCUAAAGCUAAAUAUUGGCGAGAGACCGAUAGCGAACAAGU